UCAAAGUCCAUUGUGCUCGUGGACAUGUUUUGGAUUGAAAAAUCCCAUUCUCGAACCCUAAUCUGGAAGUUUCCAUUUUCAAACCUCAUUCCUUUGCACCCACCAAGGCUCCCACCGAAGAACCUUCCCAGUAAGAAGCAAUCAAGAAACCCACACUGAAUAAGCCUCCUUGGAAAAAGUAAUCGUGAAAGCUUUGAUGGUCUUCCUUCAACUCAUUUCACUUUCGUGAUGAUUGUCCUCUAAUUUGAAAACCAGGUUUGCUAGUUUCAUACCCUUCCAUUUUCUUUCUUCGUUCCCACCCACGUAGCCUCUUUGGAAGAAGGAAUUUGGUUUUUGCGAUGGCUGUACUCCAAUCACGAAACUAGCUUCCCAUCCGAGAUUGCUGCAAGGAACUGUAAAAGGGGCAUUGGUAUCAACCUGGUGUGGAAAUUUGGGUUGCUUCAUUGGUGUUUAAAAGGUGUAGUAUUCAGUGUUGUUCAGACCACGAUGAAUCUUGUUUUUUUUAGAACACUGUUUGGUCGGAUGACCAAGUUGAUGAAGAUGACAAAGGUCGAAAAAGGAAUGAAGACAAUGAGCUAUUGAAGGAAAACAACAUGUAUGCGCGAAUGAAGCAUCAACCAUGUAGACGCUACAAAAGUUGUGCUAUUCAAACUCCAUUUGGGAGUUAUGGGAGGAGGAAGUUGAAUAAAUAGUUGGAAAUUGUUUUGAAAUGUGAAAUUGUUAGAAAUGUUUAAAUUUUAGAAGGAAGUUUAAAGGCUAUAUUAUUUGACUAAGUUAUGACCUUUUUAUCGAUGAACAAUGUAAGUUAAAAAAGUAAAAGUUGUAAGUGAGAAUCAUAGGUUAUAAUAUUACAUGUUAUGAUUUGUAAGUGAGAAUCAUAGGUUCGUAGCUUUUCAAAGUAAAAGUUGUGUGUGUACACAA